rnacentral:rRNA from 1 species
CCUACGGGGGGCAGCAGUGGGGAAUAUUGCACAAUGGGGGAAACCCUGAUGCAGCGACGCCGCGUGAGUGAAGAAGUAUCUCGGUACGUAAAGCUCUAUCAGCAGGGAAGAAAAUGACGGUACCUGACUAAGAAGCCCCGGCUAAAUACGUGCCAGCAGCCGCGGUAAUACGUAGGGAGCAAGCGUUAUCCGGAUUUACUGGGCGUAAAGGGAGCGUAGGCGGCCUUGCAAGUCUGAUGUGAAAUACCGGGGCUCAACCCCGGGGCUGCAUUGGAAACUGGCAGGCUGGAGUGCCGGAGAGGCAGGCGGAAUUCCUAGUGUAGCGGUGAAAUGCGUAGAUAUUAGGAGGAACACCAGUGGCGAAGGCGGCCUGCUGGACGGUGACUGACGCUGAGGCUCGAAAGCGUGGGGAGCAAACAGGAUUAGAUACCCCUGUAGUC